AGUGAACGCUGGCGGUAGGCCUAACACAUGCCAGUCGAACGGCAGCACAGUAAGAGCUUGCUCUUACGGGUGGCGAGUGGCGGACGGGUGAGGAAUACAUCGGAAUCUACUUUUUCGUGGGGGAUAACGUAGGGAAACUUACGCUAAUACCGCAUACGACCUACGGGUGAAAGCAGGGGAUAUUCGGACCUUGCGCGAUUGAAUGAGCCGAUGUCGGAUUAGCUAGUUGGCGGGGUAAAGGCCCACCAAGGCGACGAUCCGUAGCUGGUCUGAGAGGAUGAUCAGCCACACUGGAACUGAGACACGGUCCAGACUCCUACGGGAGGCAGCAGUGGGGAAUAUUGGACAAUGGGCGCAAGCCUGAUCCAGCCAUACCGCGUGGGUGAAGAAGGCCUUCGGGUUGUAAAGCCCUUUUGUUGGGAAAGAAAAGCAGCAGGUUAAUACCCCGCUGUUCUGACGGUACCCAAAGAAUAAGCACCGGCUAACUUCGUG
rnacentral:rRNA from 1 species